rnacentral:rRNA from 1 species
GAUGAACGCUGGCGGCGUGCCUAACACAUGCAAGUCGAACGGACUUACAUUGAAGCCUAGCGAUAUGUAAGUUAGUGGCGGACGGGUGAGUAACGCGUGGGUAACCUGCCUUGUACUGGGGGACAACAGUUGGAAACGACUGCUAAUACCGCAUAAGCGCACAGCUUCGCAUGAAGCAGUGUGAAAAACUCCGGUGGUACAAGAUGGACCCGCGUCUGAUUAGCUGGUUGGUGAGGUAACGGCCCACCAAGGCGACGAUCAGUAGCCGGCCUGAGAGGGUGAACGGCCACAUUGGGACUGAGACACGGCCCAAACCCCUACGGGAGGCAGCAGUGGGGAAUAUUGCACAAUGGGGGAAACCCUGAUGCAGCAACGCCGCGUGAGUGAAGAAGUAUUUCGGUAUGUAAAGCUCUAUCAGCAGGAAAGAAAAUGACGGUACCUGACUAAGAAGCCCCGGCUAACUACGUGCCAGCAGCCGCGGUAAUACGUAGGGGGCAAGCGUUAUCCGGAUUUACUGGGUGUAAAGGGAGCGUAGACGGUUUUGCAAGUCUGAAGUGAAAGCCCGGGGCUUAACCCCGGGACUGCUUUGGAAACUGUAGGACUAGAGUGCAGGAGAGGUAAGUGGAAUUCCUAGUGUAGCGGUGAAAUGCGUAGAUAUUAGGAGGAACACCAGUGGCGAAGGCGGCUUACUGGACUGUAACUGACGUUGAGGCUCGAAAGCGUGGGGAGCAAACAGAAGUAGCUACCCUGGUAGUCCACGCCGUAAACGAUC